CCUACGGGCGGCUGCAGUGGGGAAUAUUGCGCAAUGGGCGAAAGCCUGACGCAGCGACGCCGCGUGAGGGAUGAAGGUCUUCGGAUCGUAAACCUCUGUCAGCAGGGAAGAACGGUCACUGUGCUAAUCAGCAGUGAAUUGACGGUACCUGCAAAGGAAGCACCGGCUAACUCCGUGCCAGCAGCCGCGGUAAUACGGAGGGUGCGAGAGUUAAUCGGAAUUACUGGGCGUAAAGCGCUCGUAGGCGGUAUGUCAAGUCAAGGGUGAAAGCCCCGCGCUCAACGUGGGAACUGCCUUUGAAACUGGCAAACUGGAGUGUGUGAGAGGAUAGUGGAAUUCGAGGUGUAGGAGUGAAAUCCGUAGAUAUCUGGAGGAACAUCAGUAGCGAAGGCGACUAUCUGGCACAUAACUGACGCUGAGGAGCGAAAGCGUGGGUAGCAAACAGGAUUAGAUACCCUAGUAGUC
rnacentral:rRNA from 1 species